CCCAUUAUGUAUUUAAGUUUUGUAAUGUCAUAUUAAAGAGAAAGAGAUAAUACAGUAGUACAUGGAAGGAGACAUAUUGGUUGAAUGAUGUGCGACCGCCAUGACUCUUAUUAUUUUUGUAUCUUUAAUUAUGAAUAAUGAUGAAGCCAAUUAUAUAAAGUCCUUAAAUGCGCAUUAUGAUUAUUUAUUAAAUCACAGAAUGUUAUGAUAUCACAAGAGUCAAGUGGGAGAAUGUUAGAAUUACCUAACAAUUAAGUGACUCAUGUGAAAAUAAAUAAGGGUUAAAAUGUGAUUUAAUAUAUUUGAGGGACUUAAUGGCAAUUACAACUUGAUGGAAGUUGUAUAAGAAUGGUUGAAGGGUUUUGUCCCUGAUGCACACAAGCACAAUUAAGAAGCUCUCUCUUCCAUUAGAAAGCCAUCAAGAAAGUCUUGAGAGAAUUAAGGUUGCAUCAAGGGAUAGAUUGAGUAAGGAGUUGAAGCAAAUCAAGAAUCAAUUAGCAUGGAUCAAGCUAACGAAGCACGUUUUUGGGGCAUCAAAGGUAGCAGCCACAGCCAGUACUGGGAAACUGGACUUGUUAAGGAACUUGGGAGCAAACUUAGCCAUUGAUUAUAAAGGGGCUGCUUGAAGAUCUAGAAGAAAAAUUUGAUGUAGUGUACGAUACAAUAGGCAGAGUGAGAUUGAUAGAACAUUGAAGGCUGUUAAAGAAAAUGGGAAAGUUGUGAUAGUAGCAGCACAUGGAAGUUCUUCAGAUAUCUUCGUAAUGCUCAUACAGAAUCCCUAAGUUGGCUUGAGCGAUGGAGAAGUCGAGGACAAGUUGGAGAAGUUCAUUGCAGAGGGUCAUUGGAACAACAUGAUCGUUGGGUCUACUAUGAACUUUAUGCAUCAAAAUCAACAUUGUUAAUAAACAUCUUUCUAUUUUAAUUUAGUAUUGAACAUUUUCUUUCUUUUUAA